AUUUUAUCUGGAAUAGUUAAUGUUGAGAGUUUUAAGUUAACUUGUUCUAGUAUUUUAUACUAUUUUAUGAAUAUUUGUAUUUUAUAUGUGUAUAUACUCAUGUUUGAUAUUUUAAAUAAUUUUAAUAUGAAAAUGAUCUACUGAUAUACUUUAAUAUCUAACUUUUCUUACAUAGGAACAACUUAGCACUCAGUAGCACAGCCCUGAGGGGAGUGUCCCCUCCCAUACCAUGCACCAUCUCACUGAUGAUAUGGCUAAGUUUAGUCUUGGAUGAUGUUAGCUGUCACUGACAGUAUGAAGUGAUACUGCUCACACAGCUUGUAUAAAACCUUAAAUUUAUAGUUGAAUUGAGAAGCACUGCUACCCCCUCAGAGCUCAGGGAAUCCUUUGGAAGAUGAGGCAGAAAGCAUAUAAGCCGUAGAAAGGAUGGAGGACACCAAGAGCAUAAGGCCCUCUGAAUCAACCGAGCGAGGCUCAUUAACUCACAGAGACUAAAGCCACAGCACAGGGAUGGCAAAGCCUGCACCAGGUCCCUGAGUGCAUACUAUAGUAUAGCUUUCAGAUUAGUGUUUUUAUGGGGCUGCUGAGCGUGUGUACACGUCUCUGAGUCUUGUGCUGUACUUAGGGCUCUUUCCCUUCUAUUGGGUUGCCUUGCCCAAACUUGAUAUGAUGAUUUUUGUCUUAUCUUACUACAUUUUAUUUUGUCAAAAAGAAAAAGGGGGAGGGGAGGCACUAUUAAUGUGUGGCCUACUUACUUUUUUGUUUUGUUUUUUGUUUUUCGAGAUGGGGUUCCUCUGUGUAGCCUUGGCUGUCCUGGAAUUCACUUUGUAGACCAGGCUGGCCUCGAACUCAGAAAUCCACCUGCCUCUGCCUCCCAAGUGCUGGGAUUAAAGGUGUGCGCCACCAUGCCCGGCACUUACUUUUAUAUUACAAUUACAGAACCAUGACCAAGGCAACUUAUAAAAGAAUUAAUUAAGGGCUUCUGUCUUAGUCAGGGUUUCUAUCCCUGCACAAACAUCAUGACCAAGAAGCAAGUUGCAGAGGAAAGGGUUUAUUCAGCUUAUACUUCCAUACUGCUGUUCAUCACCAAGGAAGUCAGGACUGGAACUCAAGCAGGUCAGAAAGCAGGAGCUGAUGCAGAGGCCAUGGAGGGAUGUUCUUUACUGGCUUGCUUCCCCUGGUUUGCUCAGCCUGCUCUCUUAUAGAACCAAGACUACCAGCCCAGAGAUGGUCCCACCCACAAGGGGACUUCCCCCUUGAUCAUAAUUGAGAAAAUACCUUACAGUUGUAUCUCAUGGAGGCAUUUCCUCAACUGAAGCUCCUUUCUCUGUGAUAACUCCAGCUGUGUCAAGUUGACACAAAACUAGCCAGGACAGCUUCCUUAUAGUGUCGAGGGUGAUUACAUGGCCAGCAUGGCAGGGAGAAUAACUGUAAGCAUGGUGCUGGAGCAGUAGCUGAGAGCUUACAUCUGAUCCACAAACGAGGCAUGGGAUCGGGGUGGGCCAUGUAGGGAGAAGGAACACAGGCCAGGAUUGGUUUAGGCUUUUGAAACCUCCAUACUCACUCUCAGCAACAUACCAACUCCAACAUGGCCACAUCUCCUAAUCCUUCCAAAACAGUACUGCCAGUGAGAAAACAAGCAUUCAGGUGUAUGAGCCUAUGAGGGCCAUUCUUGAUUUAACCACCACAAAGAGUAAGGCUAAAUGUUGACACCGUAUCUAAAACAGCAUUUUAAGGUUAUAGAGCUUGGCUGAAUUUGAAUGUUAUGUUUAAGAAUGUCUUCAUGAUGAUGGAGAGAUGGCUCAGUGGUUAAGAGCACUUGUCAAUAUUGUAGAGGACCCAAUACCCACAUAAUUGAAUAUGAUUCCAGUUCCAGGGAAUAUAAUGUCUUCUUCUGACCUAUGGAGGCACCGAGUAUGCAUGUGCUACAUAUACAUACAUACAGACAAAACACAUGUAUGUAUAUUAUGAACACAUCAAAUACAGAAAUCCAGAAAAAUUUCCUCAUAAUUUAAUAUAAUCAUACUUUUGUUUAUUAAGUCAUUACCUUUUAAUGGUAGUUGUAUUUAUCUUUUUUUAUUUGAUUAUCACAUGUAAUAGUGCAUUUAACUAUCACAUAUUCAUGUAUGUUUAUAAUUCAUUGGUUCACAUUGGCCUUGUUAGCCUGAGUUGUCCCCUUCUGACCAAUGCUGAUUGAUCUCAUCAUACUAACAACUUCCCUUCCACUCUCUUCUCUCUUAUUUGGGGGUGAGGAACAUGACCCAAAUGAAUGUCACGUGGUUUUGUACAGGAAUAUGGACGUGUUAUUAGUGGCUACGCCACAGAAGAAAUGCUUCUGCUCUGUCAGCUAGUAUCCCUGUCUUUAGGGAGGGAUGGAACCCCGAGUCUCCCUCCCCCAUAACGAGAUGUUGAUGGGCUUCUAGUGUAUAGAUUUUUGUAGACAAUCACAGCAGUGCCUUGUGUGGUCUUUAGCAUUCCACACCUCUUUCCUCCCAGUGCCCUUAACAGUUUUUGUACUCCUCCUCCUGCAGUAUUCCCUGCUCCAUAAAGGAGCUCUGCUUAGGACUGAGCACUCAAUAUUCACUUAAUCUCAAUGCUUCCCCCAGUUGUGAGUCUGCAGCCGCCAUUGACCACUGUGAAAAGGAAGCUUCUGUGACCAAGGCUCCCAGAUUCCCUGCUCUGGGCGUAAGCACACUUACCUAGGAGGCAGUGUGAGGAUAUAUCACAUCCAUUAAACCAAAUAACAGGAAGAGUUUCUCUACUAGGGCCUAUGGCCUUCCCCAGGUUUCUGUACCAGGUGUGAAUUACCUUCUUUGUAACAGGCCCCAAAUCCAAAACUG
rnacentral:lncRNA from 1 species